rnacentral:rRNA from 1 species
ACGUAGGGCGCAAGCGUUGUCCGGAAUUAUUGGGCGUAAAGAGCUCGUAGGCGGUUUGUCGCGUCUGCCGUGAAAUCCUCAGGCUUAACCUGGGGCGUGCGGUGGGUACGGGCAGGCUAGAGUGCGGUAGGGGAGAUUGGAAUUCCUGGUGUAGCGGUGGAAUGCGCAGAUAUCAGGAGGAACACCGAUGGCGAAGGCAGAUCUCUGGGCCGCUACUGACGCUGAGGAGCGAAAGCAUGGGGAGCGAACAGGA